rnacentral:tRNA from 1 species
AACUAAAUCCAAAAAGAGGAAAGCCUCUGUUAAAGGCUUUAUUGAAAGAAAAUUCUAGUU